rnacentral:tRNA from 2 species
GCCGGAUUAGCUCAGCUGGUAGAGCAACCGCCUUGUAAGCGGUAGGUCGUUGGUUCAAGUCCGACAUCCGGCACCA